rnacentral:rRNA from 1 species
CUAUUAGCCGUGUUUAUUUAUUGUUAGUAAAAAUUGAGUCUUUAAGACAAAAUAGGCGUCUAAACCCUAUUUCUGACCAGAACGACUCAGGGGCCGAUUAUUAAAAAUUUCUAGAAAACAGGGGUUAGACGUCCUUUAUUCCUAAGGUUAUUUAAAGCAGGUAUUAAAAAUGAUAUUUCUAAACCUAAACAAAGUGGCAGUGGUUUAUUCCCGGCAGAGAGGCUUGAGCCAUAAUUCGAUAGCCCUCUUUUUAUCUUACCGGUAUUUAUUUUUUGUGUGGCUGUUUUAAAGUCGGGGCACUCCUAAUUUAAGCUCAAGUUUUAUGAAAAAACAUACCGGGGAGUUUUAGCCACAGUAAUAGAAUUAUUAUAGCAGCUCAGAAGGGUGUAGUGAAUUUGCGAGUAGUCUAUGCCUUAAGAAAGCAGGGCGAAGAGGUUAUAAACCAAGUACAUAUUGUCCGUCACUCUCUCCUUA